rnacentral:misc_RNA from 1 species
AAUUUUAAUUAGUUUGAGUUUUAGUUUCCUAGUAUUUCAAUUUUCAAGGUAUUUUUAGUAAUUUUAGGAUUCCAACAUGUACUUCCUGGAGGAUAACAUCAAAUUCAAUAAACUUUCAGUUCUUACUCACUAGUGGCCUCUAGAAUUUAUUUUCCUAGUGGAUUCAAGGAUAUGUGAGGUUUACAUGUUCUAAUCCUUGUUAUGCAUCCAUCCUACAUCACUGGAUCAGCAUUGCACAAUUCAACAGAAAACUACACGU